CAUUCAUCUACAAAACAAAGCAAACGGGAAGAAGAUAGCAAUUUCAACAGUCAAAAAAAUCAUCUCAACCUAGAGAUUAAAACAAAAAAAGGAUUAUGGAAACCUCACACUGCUUCCUUCAUGAUGAUUUAUAAGUAGUGGUGGUUCUAGCAAGAAGAUAGCAACUCCGGCAAUGGUGAUGGCAGCAGCGAGCUCCUCUUGCUCCUCAGAUUCCCUCAAUGUAUUUGUUGGUUUUCUGUUUUUGGUUCUUUUCUUCUUUUCUUGGAAAGAAAAUGGAGUAUACAACUCUACAACUGAAAAAUUCCGCAAGAAUUUUGGAGAGAUUCUUAUGAGUUCAUAUGAAACUCAUGGUGAAAAAUGAAUGAUGACUAGUCAUGAGAGAGUUGAAGGACGAAAAUGGAUCGGUAGUGAUAAUUGAUGGUGUCUUUGCUAGCAGCCAUGAAUGGAGGAUAAAAAAAUCAGAACCAAACAAAAUGAGUUUGCCGGGUUUUUCCCAAAUGGAAUUUGACGAGUUUGAUGAUUACUCGGAGAAAACAGCGGAAAAUCCUGAGACGAGCAAUGGCGGUGAUCAAGUGGAUAAAUCUGGCGGAGGCCAAGACCCAAUUAAGAGGCCAAUGCAUAAAAGUGAUCAUCAUCAUCAUCAACGCGUUAAGCGUUCAAGGACGCGGGAAGAGUUCCAUGAAGACGAGGAGGAGAGGAGCUCAAGCUACCGUCUCCAUUCCCCUUCAAGAGAUAGAGAGAGGAGUGGGAGGGAGAGAUACAGGAGUAGCCGAGAAUCCAAGGACAGGGACAAGCAUAAGAGCAGCAAGAAGGAGAGAGAUGGGGACAAAAUCAAAGAAAGCGACAGAGAAAGAGAUACCAACAAAGGCGAAGAUAGCGGAAGGAGAGGUCGUGGCCGCGAAGAUGAAAGACAGAGAGGUAGGGAGAGAAAUCAAGACCUGUCGAAUCGUACAAGUCAUUCAGAAAGGCAUCUGGUUGAUGGAGAGAGAGAGGAGAGCCGAGACAGGGAGAAGAAUGGUGAUAGGGAGUAUGGAGGAAGGGAAAGACAGAGCCAGUUACAAGAAGGGGACCGAGAAAGCAGGAGAUUUAAAGAAAAAAAGGAAGAAGUGGCCGAGCCACAGGCUGAUCCUGAGCAUGAUCGACGGACAGUUUUUGCUUAUCAGAUUUCUUUGCAGGCAGAUGAAAGAGAUGUCUAUGAGUUUUUUAGCAGAGCUGGCAAGGUCAGAGAUGUACGCCUCGUAGUGGACCGCAUUUCUAGACGCUCCAAAGGCAUUGGAUAUAUUGAAUUUUACGAUGUCAUGUCGGUCCCUAUGGCGGUAGCCCUGUCCGGCCAACCUCUUCUUGGUCAAUCAGUGAUGGUUAAACCAUCAGAGGCUGAAAAGAAUCUCGUUCAGUCAACUGCAUCUGUGGCUGCUGGAGAUACUGACCUAAGAUGCCCGUACUCAGGUGGAGCUAGGAGGUUGUAUGUUGACAAUCUGCAUUCUAACAUCAAAGAAGAUCAACUUCGUCAGGUUUUUGAACCAUUUGGUACUGUUGAGUUGGUGCAGCUGCCUCCUGACCUGGAGACUGGGCAUAGCUGCCGCUAUGGUUUUGUGCAGUUUUCUCGCCUUGAAGAUGCUAGAGCUGCACUAAGUUUAGAUGGACAACUGGAUAUUGCAGGCCGAGUUAUGAAGGUAUCAGCUGUUACAGAUCAAACUUUAAGACAAGAAGUUGGUGCAAAUGCUGGAGAUUUUGGUGAUGAUGAGGGUGGUGGUCUGUCUCUGAGUGCUGAAUCUCUAACACUUCUCAUGCAGAAGAAGCUGGAUCAUACUAGGAUAACAUCAAGUGGUGCUGGUUCUGUUGGCAGCCAGGUUGUUGAUAACCCUGGCCUUUCUGCACCAGCAGCUCCAGUUCUUGGUGCUGCCCCUGAGGUAUCUCCUCUUGCUCCUUUUGGACAGAUUCCUGUUCCAGCACUUGCGGGAUGGCCUGCUGCAGGUCUCUCACUGCCUUCUGUUACUUUUCCUUCAAUUGAUACUAUAGGCAUUCCAAGUGAAUGUUUAUUGUUGAAGAACGUGUUUGAUCCAAAAUUAGAGUCUGAACCUGAGUUCGACCAGGAUAUUAAGGAUGAUGUUGAGGAUGAAUGUUCAAAAUUCGGAAAGUUGAAGCACAUUUAUGUGGAUAAUAAAUGUGAGUUGAAAGAUGUUCAUGGCUGCAAAUUGGUGGCGAUGCGCAUUUAGCUAACAAGUAAUCUCUUCUACCUCCUUGUUUCUAUUCAAUCUUUUUGACGAGCAGGAAAAGCGACGGGUUGGUGUACCUGCGGUUUGAGAACAAUCAAGCUGCAAUUGCUGCGCAGCGUGCACUUCAUGGUAGAUGGUUUGCUGGGAAGAUGAUCCUUGCAACGUUCAUGGUGCCGCAGAAUUACGAGGUCACGUUUCCCCAGAGCAAGUAGGGCGUGCCCAUUCAUUUAAAGAAUAGACGAAAUCUCGUGCACACUCCUGCUCGUGUUACCAGCCUUGCUGCUCUUUUUGCAUCAUUUUCUUCUGGCUACCUUCCACUUAGCUGGUGGAGUUUUGUAUCAGACAGGAACGCUAUAGCAUAGGUUGUUAUUGUAUGAUCAAAGAUAUGAACCUCAAUCAAUGUAAGUGGCGAUAAAUACAAGAUUUGUCCCAUGUAUAAAGGGAUACUUCACAUCUUCUCAUUUUAUAAUUGUAAUAUCCAUUUUCUUC